UCUGGAGGGACGCAGUGCUUGGGGAGGUUGCGUGUUGCUGCGAGUGUUGUGAUGGUGCAUUACUGACAAGUGUGUGAUGGGUAGAAAGUUCUCAAAAACGAUAACUUUUGCGACGUUACGCAUAUUAAUGUGUGUAUUUUUCGUUCUGGAGAGUUCUAACAACACGAGAGAAGAUUCGCAUGAAUGAAGGACUCAGACAUGAAAGCAAGGGCAAGACUUCGACGAAUACCGUGUUAAAAUUAAUAGAGUAGUGAGUAGCAAUAUUUUGUGUCACGUAUUGGUGAAAUUAAUGUUCGUGAUUUAACGACAGAUGGAGUGAAGUGAUAUAUAUGUAAAUGAAUUGAAAAAGCAAGACAGGAAAAGGAAUGAGACAACGUGCAAAGAGGCUGCUGCAACACAUGUUUCGUACCGUUUACGUGGAAUCGUACGUCUUUGUACUUAAGGAGACGACGUUGAGGACUCAGCGUAUUAUUCAGAUGUGGCUGUGAUAUUGAAAAUCUUUUCUCUCUUUCUCCGCCAGUUGACAACACCAAGAACAGAAAAAUUCGUUCAAGAAUUUAAUUCUGAAGUUAUUCGAGCGAUUAAAGGAUUUCAUCGACGUACGAAGACAACCGACAAAAGACCAUUCUCGGGACGGAUAUUUCUGACCCGUGUUAGAUAGCAACUUCAUGGCUGUAGUUGGUCCUAGCAGACACUCCAGAGUGUCCAUGUCCGUGUCGAUGCCGCUCAUGCCUGGCGGGGGAGGAGGGGGAGGACACCAACAAGCCAUAUUAGCAGCUGCCCAGCCUUAUUACCACCCACAACAUUCUCACCAAACGCCAGCAACGCCUGCACAUUCUCACACACAGGAUGUGCAACCGGAUAGACCAAUCGGUUAUGGAGCUUUCGGAGUCGUUUGGGCGGUGACGGACCCGAGGGACGGGCGACGCGUCGCGCUCAAGAAGCUGCCCAACGUCUUCCAGUCGCUCGUCUCGUCCAAGCGCGUCUUCCGCGAGCUCAAGAUGCUCUGCUUCUUCAAGCACGAGAACGUGCUGUCCGCGUUGGACAUCCUCCAGCCGCCGCACCUGGACUUCUUCCAGGAAAUCUAUGUCAUCACGGAGCUCCUGCAGAGUGAUCUACACAAAAUAAUAGUAUCUCCCCAGCACCUGUCCGCCGACCACAUCAAAGUCUUCCUCUACCAGAUCCUCAGAGGUCUGAAAUACCUGCAUUCUGCACGCAUCUUGCACCGUGAUAUAAAACCGGGGAACCUACUUGUCAACAGCAAUUGUGUCCUCAAGAUCUGCGACUUCGGGUUGGCACGCGUAGAGGAGCCAGACCAGUCGAAGCACAUGACUCAGGAGGUGGUGACACAGUACUACCGGGCGCCUGAAAUACUGAUGGGCGCGCGACACUACUCCGCUGCCGUAGACGUCUGGAGCGUCGGCUGCAUCUUCGGGGAACUUCUUGGGCGACGCAUCCUCUUUCAAGCGCAGAGCCCAGUCCAACAGCUGGAGUUAAUAACGGAACUACUUGGCACACCGUCACUGGAAGACAUGCGGUACGCUUGUGACGGGGCACGAACCCACAUGCUGCGCCGUGCGCCCAAGCCGCCGUCCAUGGCUGCCCUGUACACCCUCUCCUCACAGGCCACGCAUGAGGCAGUGCACCUGCUGUGCCAGAUGCUGGUUUUUGACCCCGACAAACGAAUAACAGUUGGUGAUGCUCUGGCUCACCCAUACUUGGACGAGGGCCGCUUAAGAUACCACUCCUGCAUGUGCAAGUGUUGCUACACGACUCCGGGAGGCCUCAGGCAGUACACACCGGACUUCGAGCCUGUUGCACCCCACAGCUUUGAUGAUCUGUGGGAGAAGAAGCUGACUUCUGUUCAGCAGGUCAAAGAGGAAAUGCACAAGUUUAUUGCAGAACAACUGAAUACCAGUAGAGUCCCGUUGUGCAUUAAUCCUCAAUCUGCAGCUUUCAAGAGUUUUGCCAGGUAAGGCUGCAACCACAGCCACAAGAGGCAAACAUCUGGAGGGCCUUCUCUUCUCCUACUUCAUCCCUUCCCCGAUAAUGAUCGAUAAAGCUCUAUGUCGUACUCCGGACAUGCUGAGAGGCUCUACAGUUGCCCACCCGUCUGAACUACCUCCCUCGCCCCAUCAAUGGGAGUGACGCUAUCCUCAUCCUAGCAUCCAAUUGUGAAAAUGUCUAGAAUAUUCUCGUUCUCGCCCGGUUGUUGGGUUGCUUCUCUUCCACAUGUGGCAGCCGAGUGGGGUAUGGUUUGCACCUAAUGCAAAUUAAUAACUUAACAUACCUGAAUUUUGAUUCCAGACUAAUCUUCACAAACUAACGUUUCUAAACGUGGUGGUGAAGUGUGUAGGAGUGUGGCUGUCGGGAGAGUAAGGACACGUCAUGAUGGCAACCGUCAAAAAUAAAAGAUUUCGUAUUGUUGGUAAAUACUAAUAAACAAAUUGGGAAGUGUAAAUAGUGAACUGUGCCUCUGUAUAUACCGAGAUGUGAUUGUAUUAAUGAUGCCAUUACAUGCAAUCAGUGCAGUGUUAAUGAACAAGUGAAAAUGUGUGUGACAGUCAUUUGAUAUUUGAUUUGCUUGAAAAUGUGGUAUUAACUCUGACAGGCCUGUUCAGAGAGUAACCGUGUCAAGUGGCAAAAGAAGUGUGUGUUCAUUAGUACUGAUUGAACACUGUAUUCAAACUGUGUGUGUGUGUGUGUGUGUGUGUGUGUGUGUGGGCGCGCGUGCGUGCGCACAUGUGCGCCAGUGGAUUUGUACACAAAAUAAUGGUAUCUGCCUAGUAUCUGGAAGGCAGUUUCAUGGUAAAUCAGUGCAUUUGAUACAAAAUUUGACUGUUAAUUUAUCUACUUAAUAAGGCAUCUAUCUUUAUUUAUGUAUUGUAAAAAUAUUUAGUGGUGAGUUAUCAUAUAUAUCUGAGACUGCAGUGCAUUCAAAUUUUCUGGUGUUUAAAUAGUGAGAUCUGAAAUUGGUUUCUUUCAGUUACUGCAUUGCUUCUUCCUUAUCUGUGUCCUAACUCAUAAAACACUUUCUUGAUAUGUCUGUAGUUCCAGUUGGCUAACACGUUUCCUUGUCUUAUUUCACCUUCAUUAUAGUUGUAGCAUAAAUUUAAGUGCUGCUUAAGUUGUGGGCAUAGCAAGAUGCAUAGUAACUGUUAGUGUAGGAGACUAAGUUAACUGAUGGGGAAAUAUCUGAUACUGAUGUUCAUAAAGUAGUGACACAUCAUUAUUUUUUAAUAUAGGAAAGAGGUUUGCUAAUUGUAAUUUUUGUGUGUUUCAUCUGUUGUGUGAGGACAUUGCGAUGUGAAGAUGUAUAGUAGCUAUUAACAGUAUGUUAUGUUUUUAAUUAUUAUUUUUAGCUAUGAAGCAGAAUAAAAAAAUCUCAUGGCUCUGUUAACUUGUGUUUUGUGUUGGGCUUACAUUUAUGUUUGCAUUUAAUAUUUUCAACAGCAUUAGAAAUAAUGUGUUACGUAGUAAGAUUUCUCUCUCUCUCUCUCUCUCUCUCUCUCUCUCUCUCUCUCUCUCUCUCUGUGUGUGUGUGUGUGUGUGUGUGUGUGUGUGUGUGUGUGUGUUUUGUUGUAGACUUGUGUCUCAAACGGUAUAAAAUUUGCAGGCCUCUGUAGAUCACCGCUUGCCUUCAGGUUGUGUGUUGUCAUUAUUACUCUUGCGUUCUUGCUUGUACAUAAGAUAAGGAGAGCCAGUCAUUGUGACUGACUUGUUUUGUUAUUAUUAAUGUUUAGCUGUAAUACAUCCUGCUAUGCCCUAUUUUAAAGCUCUUAAUGCAAUACACUGCGGAACAUUUUGUUUGCAAUUGUAUCCACCGAUCUCAUAACACCAAUUAGUCAGAUUUUUAUCAGUUUAUUUCUUAGAGCAUUGUUGCUUAGUUGAUGUAUUUGAACUCUCUUAAUGAAUGUUUCCUAUUAUUUUAGUUAUUAGGGUACGAGAGGAUUGAUUUUGUGUUCCUCUGGUCAAUAUUUUAAAGUGUGAGCAUUGUGAGGCUUGAGUGUGAGAGCUUUGUAUUACUUUCAGAUUUAUUGAAAAUGACUUCUUAAACUAGGCGAUAAAAUGUUUCCCUAGUGAACUGACUUGUGUGCAUUUAAUGUAUUACCUACAUUUUAUGGUAGCAGCUGACCACCAAAUUUGAAAAAAAAAAAUAACAUUUGUAACUGAUGUACUGCAUUACAAUAUGUCUAUAAGGAUUACUUCAGAAUAGCAGACUUUUGAUGAGGAAAAUCACUAUAUACACACAUAAAUUGUAAUUUGAAAAGGUAAAGAAGAAUUUUAAAAAUAGGAAAUGUAUGUAUUUGUGUGUUGUAUUAAGAUACAAAGCUUUGUGAACAUUUUUUAAUUAUUUUACAUCCUGUCUUCCACAAAUUACUGAAUUAGCUUGUAUAGAAAAAGUUGCUUACAUAAUGAGUCAUUUCCUUUUCUUUGCUCAUGCAGAAAAAUAUAGUUUUAGGAAACAUGUUACAGUGAAGGCAUUGUAAUUGCAUUAGGUUAAAAAAUGUUCACUAUUGCUACAUUGGUACAGAAAAUGUAUGUGUGUAGCUCUGAGUUGUUUUAGAGCUCAUAUUAAUAUUCUCAGUAAAAUCUUACAGUGCAUCAAAUGUUGAGAUUUAUGUUAAUCCCACAAACUGAGGCCUUACCAAAUACUGUCAGUAUAGUAUAUACAGUAGGUAACAAAUGAACUUGUGUGCUUUCCUGUGUGUAUAUGUCACAAUUACUCAAUGUCUGGAGUGAAGAAGAAAGACUUUUCAUCUGGGUGUUUAUUAUUAUCGCCAAAGUGUGAGUAAGAAAAUAUUCAGCUUAUCUUCUUUAUGUAUUUUAGAAGGUGUAUGGAACUUUGCCCUUUUUUCCCCCCUUCAUGGAUGUAGGUAUGUGCAAAUGUUGUAUUUACUUUAAUUUUCCACCAGUCACUGCCAUUUGUAUCUGGUCUAUGGGUCAUAUUUCCAAUUGCUGGAACAGAGUUGUUCCUGUAUGGAGGGAAUGAAUCAUUCCUUAUAUACAAUAUAAUUAGCAUAUAAGCGAAACUUUAAUGGAGGUUUUCCAGCAAUUUCUGUUGCUGUGUGGCUUGGGAUCAAUCUUUAAUAGCUCACAGCAUUUCUCUGCUUCUCAUUUAACAACUGUGCAUCAUAUGCACAUUGCAUUAUAUCAUUACAGUUAAAGUACACUGGAGAAGUUUUACUUAUUAUGAGUGCAGUGUUAAUGACAAUUAUUGUACGGUGCACUAUUUCAUUAAUGAGGAGAAUUUUAUAAGUAAAGUUGAGUAGAUAAACUGCAAAAGAAUGUAGAUUCACUGUUCCAUAAUUGUAGCUUGAAAUAACACCCCGAAAAGUUUAAAAAAGGAGCCUUAUAUAAAACACUUGCUUUCCUGUAUGUCCAUUUUUACAUCAGUAUGUGUCGGUUUGACAUAGUGACAAAUAUCGUGAAAUAAAAUGUACAUAAUACUAUAGAUUUAAAAAAAAUAAAAAUUUUAAAUCAUUAUAGUAGGGAUGAAAAUCAGGAAAGAAUAAGUAAGGUAGAUGAGUUUAUUUUAACUAACAAUUCUCAGUGUUUAAGUAGCCAUAUUAUAAGACAGUUAUGUCAGGGAAGUUGCUCAUGUCAUUACUGAAAUGUUGACGAUUGUAGUUUUUGUGGUGUAAUACUUUUGCUCAUCUCUGUAAUUGUCACAUUUCACCAAUUGUAUAUCAGGAGUGGUUAUGUAGUGGACAGCACCAGUCUCUUCCUUAAUGUAAAUAUUGUAAAAUACAUUGUCAUUAUAUGUUAUGUGUGUAGGGUGAAGGUUUUUGCAACUUUGCUCUAUAAGAAUCAUCUCACUUAAGUAAUGUUGUACUCUAUUUAUUCUGUGUUCAUGGGAUGGUUCUUACAGACAUAUUUUUUUAAUACUUUAGAUUGACUCUAAUAUAUGGCUACCAUUGCUGUAGUAAAAGAAGUUGCUGAGUUUUGGUAGUGACUUGAAUUUGAAAGGCCAGUUAUUUCAUUAGCUUUGCCUGCAAACUGAUAAAUGUAAUUUAUUGACAGCUGACAAAGUACUAGGAGAACACAGCCCUCCAGUCGUAUGCAACAAGUGACAAUCUGGAAGCUUUGCUGAAUCCUGUAAAAAUAUCUGUAUGUUUACAAUUAACAAACCUGUGCCAGGAUGCACAUAUGGAAAAUUUUUGUAACAUGAAAAUUCCGUUUAAUGGAAAUACAUAUUUGAUAAACCUAUUUACAGUGUUGUGAUAUUCAUUGGAGAAACAUUUAUUGGUCACUAAUUUAAUUAUGACAGAGAAUGACUAGAUGUGUAAUACCUUAAGCAUUAUUUACGGGAUGGAACUUGAAUAUCUUUUGGAACCUUCUCCUACCAUAUGAACCUGUAAUCAUAGUCUGUUAAAAUAAGAUGUGUUAGAUUUGUGCUGCAUCAAGUAUAUUUUGUGAGGACUACAAAGUGAUAGGAAGUAGAUUAUGUGGGUUAUCAUGCCAUUAUCUACAGUGAGAGUUCUCAAUUAUGCUCAAGAGUUUAGUAGACAGAAGGUUUGAAAGUAAACUUGAAAGGUAAUUGUGAAUAUCUGUCAAAUAACUGUCCUCGUAGGAUAAUGUGUCCUCACUGUAGGCAUUGGGGGUCUGUGGGCAUGUAAUAAAAUAUAUGCUGUGUGAAUGGGAAAUAUUGUGGAAACUGAAGACAUAUUUAUGUAAACUGAAAAUAAAAUAAUUGUUGUUUUCAGGAGUUCAAGAAAUUCUUCUGAAACGAUAUAAAUAACUUAGAAAAGGGAUAAAGAUGAUACUUUGACACGUACUUAGUGUGUGGAAUGCAGUUUACAGUAACCUGUAUUUACUUAUUAUUGAAAGGAGAUUUGACUAGGAAUUACGUUAAAAAUUUAUUUAAGAAAAAUUUGCGCAAUAUUUUCAUAAUUUCCCUGUAUUAUACUGUAAGGGAUUUAGAUUCUUUAAAGUAGAUAUAGUCUUAAUGUGAAUAGUUAUGGUUCACAGUGAACAAAAACAGGAGAAGUGAUUCAGCAUAUUAGACUUACUGACACAUACAUAAAUAAAGACACCAUCUUCAGUCAUUCCUGUUUAUUUACAAUGUUAGAACUAAGAUAAAUAGAGUAUUCUUUGUUCGAGAGGUGCAGUAAAGUGAAUGUAGUAUUGUAUCAAAGCUCCCAGUUCAUCACUUGUAAGGAGGGAACACAAUUUUGAGACACUAGUUUGACUGAAGAGCAACAUAGUUUUCUAUAAUGGCUAGUAUUAACUGUUUUGCUGACAAUAUUUGUGUAAAAUUAAAGAAAAUCAUAUAUGCAGGUUUACUUGCACUCUGUAUGCAUUUCAAGCUGCAGCAUGUACAAUUGUAGUUGUACGAAUUGUUUGUUUUUGCACUCAUGGUGUAAAUCGGCAGAGACACUGACAGUCAUUAACUUUGUUAUUCCAGAAUUAAUUUUAAACUACAUGCUCAUCCGCACACACGCACAGGCUCUCUCUCUCUCUCUCUCUGACACACACACACACACACACACACACACACAAAGCAGUAAACCAGUUACAUGUUAAGUAGGAGAAACAGUAGUGGAUAUUGCUGUACAGCUGGCCACUGGUCUGGAGGGAUAAGGUACAUUAUUUUAGUAAGGAUUGUGUGUGUGUGUAGUUUUCACAAAACAAACCAGAACACAUGGUAACUGUGUACUGCCUGGCAAAUCAAAAAUGUACUGCAAGCUGAUGUUCUCACCAAUGUAAUUUCAGUUUCGUUGUUCAGUUUUAGCUGUGAUCAUUGUUUGUUUAGCUGUUUUACAUAGUGUAAUUCCACCAUUUUAAUUAAAUUUGUCAUUUGUACAUGGUACUAGAUGCUGGUCAUCACUUUUUCGUUUGUCUUGUAGCUAAAUGAAUAUUGCACGUGCCUUGAAAGUAAAAAUUUGAAAAUAAUCAUCACAAAGAGCAAGUAAUUUGCCAUGUUCUUCUUCAAGAUUUGGUAAAAAAAAAUUUAAUGUCAUAUUUUUUAAAGGUAUUUUUUGUAAAGAUGUGAUGUGCUUGUUCUCUGUGGCUGGUUUUUAGAUGCUGAUCAGUUUGAAAUGGCUGCUUGAUUGGUAGUCAUAAAAGAGCUGUUUUUUCUGCUGCUAGUUAUACUAAUUAAAAAGAAAUACCGUCCAACAUUAUUGUCAAAUCCAGAAGUGUUUUAUGAAUGCUGUCGUGCUGUUCAUAUGUCUCUGUCUGAUUUAUCAACUGACCAACUGAUAUGUUUUACCCUCCAUAAGGAUCUGACUGUGUAAAAUAUAAACCAAUAAUAAAACACCAGAAGCUCUGAUUGCGUUGUGCUGACACAUGUAGUCUGUGUUUCAUAAUGAGUUGUGACGUGUGUGGGCUUAAAUAUUUAAAUAAGACUUAGUAGAUUAAAAGACUGGUGUCUUUGUUAUACCUCAUUAAUUCUGUGUAAUCUUUCAGAAAAAGCACAAGAAAAUUUCAGUGUUUACUGCCAAGUAGGGAGAAAAUAUAAAAAGAAAAUAAACACUUUUGUCUUUGUGUAUACAUUUGUUUUUCUGAUCAUUAUUAAAUCUCCUGCAUCUGAUUAGACUCAGUGUGGAACAUGGCGCGUUUACUUGAAACUGAAUGCAGACAUCCAGUUCGUCUAGAGUGAAAAUUCCAGUUUAAAGUUCCGUUAUAGACUGUCAGUUAAUUUUUGUUCAUUUCCUCCAUGCUUUUAUCGUUCACAGGCAUUAGGAACAAAAUAGAUUUUUUCACUGGGUCUCAAUUUGUUAAACUUUUCUACUUAUGUAAAUAUUCAGUCUAUUACACCCUGGGACAACUCAGAAAUCUGGGGAAAAACCUGAGAAUUUUUUCAUCCGGGAGACAAAUGGGAAAGAUUGAGGACUUUUUUAGAAUUCAGGAAUUUUUUUAGUUAAAUUUUUGUAAUUUUUGACUGGUAAGAUCUGAUACUCUUACUAAGAAUUUUACUUUAGCCUGCUACUGCAGAAUAAUACUGCAGCAAUAAAACAUAAAUGAGACAUUUACAACAACAAAACACAGUGCGCAUGCAAGCAUCUGCAGACAGUAAAGUGUGUCGCAGGUUUGUUUGAGCAGUUGCCAGGAGGCUCGUGCACAAGCGCAGAGAUGAAGUCGUGUUUGAGCAGUGCCUUCUCCCACUACUGGCCAGUUGAAGCGUUGCUGUUAGUCAUAUAAGCAGCAGCAGCAAGCAACUGGAUGCUACUCAGAAAAAUUUUUCUGGCACACCUAAGCUGCCAGGUUUGUGCAUGCACAGAACAAUCUGAGUUGUAAUGGGUGUUGGUAGUCUCCCUGUGAACCAUUAUUACAUUUCAUGAUUCUGCUAUUUUUGUUUACAGCUCUCAUGUCAAUUGAAAAUGAAGUGGAUUUAUGUGGCUGGGAGCUAUCGAGUGAAUUCACAUAAGGACUGAAGACUAAAAUAUGUUGUUAGUAUCAGUUUUCUGAUUUUUCCUCCACGUUAUUGGCGAUUGAGCAUUGCAGAACAAUGGAGUUAUGUUUGUCGGCCUGCUAAAGAAAUUUGGCUUUAUUAAUCUUUUCCACAGAGACAUUUAAUUUAAGUGAAAUGAAGUGUUUCAUUCCACAUGUUGACUAGUUUCAACUGUUUACUGAAUUUUAAUUGCACAUUUUCACCUUCUGGCACAUGUAGCAUUAUGCUGUAAUAAAGAACCAAGCCUGAGAUAAUACAAUACUGGUACUCCAAGAAAAUUGGCAUUGUGAAAACCACAUUGUAAUGCUUUAAUACCAGGUAGAGCCUGUCUUCAGUGUGAAUCUGGACAUAUGAAAGUGCACUUUAAGGAGAAUUAUGUAUUUUGGUAUGGCUUACAGAAUUCUGAUGCUCUUGAAGUACUCUGUGAUGUCCUACUUAUUUUAUGACGUAAUGUACAAUCUCUUAAUGCUAUAUAUAUACAAACAUAUGUAAACCUUCACCUGAAGAUGAAUAAGCAGGCAAAUUUGGUUAGUAGUAUUGAAUAUAGUGUUUUGUUUCAAAUAUAUUGACAGUUCUAGCAGAAUUUUACAUAUCUGCCUUUUGUGAAACACAAUAUUUGUUUGAUAACAAGACAUGUUUCAAGAUUUGUCUGAUACCUCCUCUCGGCAUGACAUUAUUUUUUAAUUUGUGUUUUUAUGUCUUACAUUUACGGAACGCCAUUAUCUGGCAUAUUGUCGACUGGCAGCAUGCUGUGUUUUUAUCAUUGUUACUCCUCAUAUGGCUUUAUAUUUACUUUGAAGUAGAACAUAAAUUGCCAGUUAUACAGUUCUUGGCUUCACAAAUAACCUUGUUAAUUUCUCAUACAGUGUGAAAAAGUAAUGACUGACGGGUUGUUUUGAGUUCUUGUGUAUCUAAAAAAAAAAGUUUUUAUUUUAUUUUUGCAAGAUAUUUGUUUUCCUUCUUACAAGCUUUGUGCAGUGCUCUGUGGAUGUAAAUGUGACUGGAAAGGCUGCUAAAAAGUAUUGCUGAGUACAAAUAAUAAAAAAAAAUGUUUUGUUAAAAUCACCACAUAGCAAAAGAUUAGGGUGCUUUGAUCUGUAGAGUCUAGUUUUGAAGUAAAUGUUGUGGCAAGGA